rnacentral:rRNA from 1 species
CACCGCGGUUAGACGAGAGGCCCUAGUUGAUACUACAAACGGCGUAAAGGGUGGUUAAGGAUAAACAAAAUUAAAGCCGAAUGGCCCCUUGGCCGUCAUACGCUCCUAGGUGUCCGAAGCCCUAUUAUACGAAAGUAGCUUUAAUAAACCAACCUGACUCCACGAAAGCUGAGGAA